ensembl:lncRNA GMDS-DT GMDS divergent transcript
GCCGCCACCGCCUCAGGGAAGAGGAAGGAGGCCGCGGCUUCGCGUCCCGCCUCUCGCCUGGCUGGCCGUGGGGGGCCUGGACGCAGUGGCCUCCCGAAUCUCCCAGGACCCUAAUAUCGCCCGAGGAUGCUGGGAGGAACGCUGAGCCGACCUCUCCGUUAGGCUGAAGAUUGCACAAACCAUGCUAAUGGCCAGCAUGGAUGGAGGGAGCGUGUGAGAUGUGUGGGGCAGCGUGCUGCAUCUCAGCCAACUCCAGGAGCCAGUUGAUGUGAUGGACUACCUUAAUUGAUUUUUGAAUGUUGAGCCAGCCUUAUGCAUGUGGGAUAAACCCCUGUUGAUCAUGGCUGGCUGGAGUGCAGUGGUGCAAUCAUGGCUCACUGCAACCUCAAAUUCCUGGGCUCAAGGGAUCCUCCUGCCUCAGCCUCCCAAGUAGCUAGGACUACAGUUCCUGCUGGAAUCUUGCUGUUGCCCAUUCAAGUCUGGUGGUUCCUGUGUGUUGGGGUGGCCUUGCUUCUCCUGCUCUUAGCUCUGGAGGAGCCCUCGGCUGGUGCUGCAGUGAAUCUGUCAGAGUCGUCCUAACCAGAGUGCCCCCAUCCUGAAUAGAGGCUGGAUAAAGCCAAACCUGCUGGGUUAUAGUCCCAGGGGAUUGGGCAGUCCUGGUCACAAGAUAUUUAAGGUUGAGGGAAUAAGUUAAUGAUGCUAAGUAAAUAAAGACCCUGAAUUCUUUCCCGUGAGAGAUUCAAGAACUCACUCUUGGCAUCUGGGAUAAGACCCUUUUUCCGGUAACAAACCCCUGCCCUGGCCCUUUCUUCCUUCUGGAAAACUUAAAAAAAAAAUAGGCCUCAAAAAGACUGCAUUAAUCUGAGAAACUGCUGAAUAUGGCUACUAAGAGAAGCUGGGAUUUUCUGAUUUUUAAUGUCGGUUUCAAAGAGAGCAGGUAUACUUUGCAGGAGGGAACCAUGCUAGCUGCAGAAUCAUGGACGAGCUGGACCACAAGUUUUUACACAGUGUGCAUGCUUUUGUUCUCCUGUCAACUUCUGUUGUUUUCCUGUCAACUUCUGUUGUUUUCAUCAAAAGCCAUCAACCCGCCUCAGCCAGGGCAUCAUAAUGUACAUGCAACAGAGUGUUCCAAGAAACUUUCAGCUGAGACCCUAAGACCCUGGACAUGCAAUGCCAGAGUGAAGUGUGAGGACCACAGCUGUGCAGGACAUGCAGAAAGGAGGGGCAGAGAGCCAAUGAGAUGAUGUCCCACGACUCACCUGUGUCAGUGGAGACCGAAGGAGACUUGGAGGGUGCUUUUGGAGAGAACUGCUGAUGUUUUGUGAGCCUCACUCUCUCUGUGUGUGGAAAUGCUGGAGGAUGAAACCGUCUAAACUCUCCUGAAGUCCCGGGAAUGGAGUUUUAAUGGUAAUGUGUGAUGGGAUGUGUGUUCUCUUAUGGUAUGGGAGACACAGAGGACUCACAGAGGACUGGCCUCUGCCUCUUGACCAGGGAUCAGGAGAGAUGGGAACUGAGCUGGUCAGCUGCUCUUCAGAGCUGGUCGAGGAGAGAUUUCUGCUGUGCUGGGAGGGCCUAAAAACAUGCAUGGAUGGAGCCCAAGGACCAGGUGCAGAUCUUAUGCAAGAAUGAACCAGGGGGUGACUUAGGUCCACCAAAAGACUGCCCAGAGGGACAAAAGGCUAUCAGUGAAAAGAAUCCACAGAUGAACUGCCAGUUCCUCAGGGCUGAGGCAAGAUCUUAAUUUUGAGUAGGAGCAGAGUGUAUUACCUACAACAAGGAUACCACAGAUGAGAAAACCCUAGUUUUAAACCUGCUACAUCCAAAGAGAGCAAUGCAACUCUGGCAGUAGCAAAAAUGUUGUGCCUCUCCUUUCCUCACUCCUAAUUUCCCAUCCCAGAGAAGGGUCAGAAACCAUCUUCUGCAAGAUGGGAGGAAGGGUAGCAGCCAGACUGCAAAAAGGGAGAAGAAACCAGCUACCUCUUGCUGUUCUCAGUGGCAGACUCCCCACCUGCAACAGGUCAGGUCUGUUACUGGAGAGAAAAGACAGGGCCUGUCUUGAGAUGCACCUUGUUUGCCCACGGGGGAAACGUGCUUUGGAAAGUGCUGGACACCAUGGCUGUGCAGGCCCAAGAAGGUGAUGUAUUUAGUGUGCUUCAAGAAAACUAACAUUUUCAGAGGGAGCAAGUUACUUAUUAUUGGUUACCCUUAAUAUAUACCAUCUAGAUUAAGCAUAUUUAUUUCCAAAUUGUUCGCUAAGGUACAGGUCCUUGCCUUAGUCAGUCUGAGCUGCUGUAACAAAUUACCAUAGACUGAGUUGUUCAUUAACAACAAAGUAUUUCUCAUGGUUCUGGAGGCUGGAAGUCUGAGGUCAGGGUGCCAGCAUGGUUGGGCUUCGGUGAGGGCUCUCGUCUUGGUUUACAGACAGCUAGACAGCUGUCUGUAUCCUCACAUGGCAGAGAGAGACAAAGGUUGCAAGCACUCUGCUGUCUCUUCUUAUAAGGGCACUAAUUCCAUCGCAAGGGCUCCACCCUCAUGACUAAUCAUUUCCCAAAGGCGCUGCCUCCUAAAAUCACAUUGGGUGUUAGGAUUUCAACAUAUGAAUUUGAGGGGGACUCAAACCUUCAGACCAUAACAGUUCAUGGCUAAGAUUAUAAAUGACCAAAGCCCAGUGUCACCAAUAAUCCAGCUCUAGAAAGUGUAGUAAUGGAAACGACUUCAUCCCCAUGAGAUGGAAACAGUUAGAAGGAUGAAUGACUCAAGCCUUGACAAGGAUAUGGAGAGACAGGGUGUUGCUAAUGGGAGUGCAACUGGUACAGUUAUUCUGGAAAACCAUCCGUUUCUUUGUGAACUCAAGUGUGCAUCUGUCUUCUGACCCAACAGUCCCACUCUUGAAGUUGCGCAAUGUGUAGCUUUUACAACUAUAAGCGGUGGCCCUGAUUCAAGACCACAGAAUGAGCCACUGGAACAUCUGGGAUGAGGACCUCCUGCUUGCCAGGUAGUUGAAAGACCUAUGUUCGUCAUAGCAACAGGGCCUGGAAAAGAGAAGAAAUACAGCCUUUGUAUUUCUGGGAUUGAGAAGGAAAGCAGUCAUGCCACUGAGAAUCUCUGGGUCUGGAAAGGGGGUUGGUCAUUGUGGAUUCCAUGAAGGCUCUGCCGGAAGAAUCUGGAAGGACUGAGUCUUCAGAGCCUCAGCCCUGGGAGGCGGAGUGACAGGGACCUAUACCGAUUGAGGACAGAGAGGAAAAGGUCCCUGCUGAGCAUUUCUCUUUUGAAAGACCCUCUGGCUGCAGCCUGGAUGAGCAAUGCUGACAGGUGAUUCGCAGUACUGGCUGGCAGUGUAAACCAAGUUAGCAAAAUAGAAGCAGCAGCCUGGGAGAAAACAGGGCUUGGAAGAAGACUGUGGUGGAGACUUCCAGGACUCCUAGAUGAUCCAGGAGGACAAGAAAGUGCAAGUUUGGGAUCCUGGAAUUCCUGCCAAUCUGCAGGUGGAGGCUUAAGCCAGUACUGAUUUAAUCUGAAACCUAACGUGAAUGAAACAGCUUGCACAGCGCAGCAAGCGGCAGGAGCAGUGUCUCCAUGCCAAGCUCACCAACAUGUCCAUUUCCUUACUGG